rnacentral:rRNA from 1 species
CCCGUCCGCCGACCCGAGAGCCGAACAGAAAUUUUCCGAUCUGGUUGGGGAGAACGCCCUCCGAAUGUGGCCUGAGUGCGGCGUUCGGUCCGAGAAAGCAUUGGGAAAACUACAGAAAUUGAAUCAUCCCAAGCUGCACGACAUUUUUCUGACGAGGCCGUUGACAGCUCCGAGGGGGCCGGCCUAUAAGACGGCCACUGAGCGCGGCGCCGCUGAGCCCUUCGGGCCCCAGCGAGCUUUCGUGCCUCUGGAACAUCCAUCGAGUUCGAUGAGUGCAUCAGCAGCCGAUAGUUGUCGGUUGCCAAUCGCCGUCGGGCCGGGUUUCCGAGCUCCUCUUAAGUGUAGGAGUUGAAGUUUUGAUGGUCUUUGUGACCUCGGGCUUCGUUGAGAUCUUCGGGUCUCGGGCUGUUUGACAAGUGAAGAUGAAGAAAGAGAAACGUGGACGGCGAAGUCCUUGCGGGUCUCGAUUGUAAGAAGGCUUCGGCUUUCGAGCGUUGAGAUCGGACGAAAGACUUCGGCGGUACACGUUUUCAAGGAAACACCAUGUUCGCGAGCGCUGUGAAGCGCUGCGACGAACCGACGAUCUUCGGAUUGUUGGUGAUGGUGGGACCUCGUCAAACGUUGUGAUCAGCCGGUUCAAAGUUCAAGUCCAACUUGAGAGUUUGAUCCUGGCUCAGAGCGAACGCUGGCGGCAGGCUUAACACAUGCAAGUCGAACGGGCGUAGCAAUACGUCAGUGGCAGACGGGUGAGUAACGCGUGGGAACGUACCUUUUGGUUCGGAACAACACAGGGAAACUUGUGCUAAUACCGGAUAAGCCCUUACGGGGAAAGAUUUAUCGCCGAAAGAUCGGCCCGCGUCUGAUUAGCUAGUUGGUGAGGUAAUGGCUCACCAAGGCGACGAUCAGUAGCUGGUCUGAGAGGAUGAUCAGCCACAUUGGGACUGAGACACGGCCCAAACUCCUACGGGAGGCAGCAGUGGGGAAUAUUGGACAAUGGGGGAAACCCUGAUCCAGCCAUGCCGCGUGAGUGAUGAAGGCCCUAGGGUUGUAAAGCUCUUUUGUGCGGGAAGAUAAUGACGGUACCGCAAGAAUAAGCCCCGGCUAACUUCGUGCCAGCAGCCGCGGUAAUACGAAGGGGGCUAGCGUUGCUCGGAAUCACUGGGCGUAAAGGGUGCGUAGGCGGGUUUCUAAGUCAGAGGUGAAAGCCUGGAGCUCAACUCCAGAACUGCCUUUGAUACUGGAAGUCUUGAGUAUGGCAGAGGUGAGUGGAACUGCGAGUGUAGAGGUGAAAUUCGUAGAUAUUCGCAAGAACACCAGUGGCGAAGGCGGCUCACUGGGCCAUUACUGACGCUGAGGCACGAAAGCGUGGGGAGCAAACAGGAUUAGAUACCCUGGUAGUCCACGCCGUAAACGAUGAAUGCCAGCCGUUAGUGGGUUUACUCACUAGUGGCGCAGCUAACGCUUUAAGCAUUCCGCCUGGGGAGUACGGUCGCAAGAUUAAAACUCAAAGGAAUUGACGGGGGCCCGCACAAGCGGUGGAGCAUGUGGUUUAAUUCGACGCAACGCGCAGAACCUUACCAGCCCUUGACAUGUCCAGGACCGGUCGCAGAGACGCGACCUUCUCUUCGGAGCCUGGAGCACAGGUGCUGCAUGGCUGUCGUCAGCUCGUGUCGUGAGAUGUUGGGUUAAGUCCCGCAACGAGCGCAACCCCCGUCCUUAGUUGCUACCAUUUAGUUGAGCACUCUAAGGAGACUGCCGGUGAUAAGCCGCGAGGAAGGUGGGGAUGACGUCAAGUCCUCAUGGCCCUUACGGGCUGGGCUACACACGUGCUACAAUGGCGGUGACAAUGGGAAGCUAAGGGGCGACCCUUCGCAAAUCUCAAAAAGCCGUCUCAGUUCGGAUUGGGCUCUGCAACUCGAGCCCAUGAAGUUGGAAUCGCUAGUAAUCGUGGAUCAGCAUGCCACGGUGAAUACGUUCCCGGGCCUUGUACACACCGCCCGUCACACCAUGGGAGUUGGCUUUACCUGAAGACGGUGCGCUAACCAGCAAUGGGGGCAGCCGGCCACGGUAGGGUCAGCGACUGGGGUGAAGUCGUAACAAGGUAGCCGUAGGGGAACCUGCGGCUGGAUCACCUCCUUUCUAAGGAUGGGUCUUCAACAGCUUGCUGUUAUCGACCUGUUUUAGAAACAUCAGAGGCUCUAAGUCAUACGAGCCUCAUUGGCGGGAUUUCGCCGUCUUCGUUUCUCUUUCUUCGCGGACGAACACGCGCCUGGGGUGGCGCGCGCAUUCGGCUUGUCGGCAUUGUCGUUGAUCGAUGGUGCCGGUGCUGCGUGCCGCAAGCUGCCUCACGUGCUGAGGGCUUGUAGCUCAGUUGGUUAGAGCGCGCGCUUGAUAAGCGUGAGGUCGGAAGUUCAAGUCUUCCCAGGCCCACCAUUUUGUCGAGCGCUGCAUUCGUCUUCUGGUUACGGGGCCAUAGCUCAGCUGGGAGAGCGCGUGCUUU